rnacentral:rRNA from 1 species
AAUCAACGCUGGCGGCGUGCCUAACACAUGCAAGUCGCACGAGAAAGGGGCUUCGGCCCUGAGUAAAGUGGCGCACGGGUGAGUAACACGUGACUAACCUACCCUCGAGUGGGGAAUAACCUAGAGAAAUCUGGGCUAAUACCGCAUAACACUCACGAGUCAAAGCAGCAAUGCGCUUGAGGAGGGGGUCGCGGCAGAUUAGCUAGUUGGUGAGGUAAUGGCUCACCAAGGCGAUGAUCUGUAUCCGGCCUGAGAGGGCGCACGGACACACUGGAACUGAAACACGGUCCAGACUCCUACGGGAGGCAGCAGUGGGGAAUUUUGCGCAAUGGGGGAAACCCUGACGCAGCAACGCCGCGUGGAGGAUGAAAUCCCUUGGGAUGUAAACUCCUUUCGAUAGGGAAGAUUAUGACGGUACCUAUAGAAGAAGCCCCGGCUAACUUCGUGCCAGCAGCCGCAGUAACAC